rnacentral:lncRNA from 1 species
UUGUUCAUGGUAUUUGCAUAUUACAGUCAUCUUCGAAUUCAUAAAAGUGAGUACCCCUAUAAAUGGAGUCAAUAUUAGGAGGCCUUUUGUCAGAACAGUUAUUUACAAAUAUCUAAAAUAACAUGUCCUGGCAAGAAACCCUACAAAUGUAAUCAAUGUGAUUAAGCACAGUUAUAUGCGACUAGGUAGAAGAACACCUGCCUGAGACGACACUAGGAGGUAAGCAAUGUGGUAAAACCUGUGCGAGUAACUGUGCUCAGGAGAAAAAGCCAUAGUGCAAAGAAACCUGUGAAUGCAGUCAUUGUGGUAAAGCUUUACGUGUUAUGAUCUCUUUAUGCAAUAUUAAAAGCCUUAGUGUGCAAUUAAUCUGUUAAAGGCUUUACACAUCACAGUAGUAUUUAGGGACCUGAAAGAAUUCAUACUAUAGGGGAUCUAUAAGGAUCCUAUAAGAACUGUAGCCAACAUACUUCAGUUGCACAAGAUUAUUCUGAAGAGAACAUCUGACCAGUGUUAACAAUCAAGCAUUAUGGUGUUCCUCUUGUUUUAUUUGUACUUGUAAAUUCAUAUGCGCAAGUGUAUGAAUGUAAGUGAUAGCCCUUUUAGACUUCACAAUUCUCUUCAAUUACUCAUCCAGAUGUAAAAGUUUACGGGUGUGAACUACUGCCUUUUUUGUUGCUAUAAUAAAACAUCGUGCCUAGGGCAACUUAU